GAUGAACGCUGGCGGCGUGCCUCAAACAUGGCAAGUCGAGCGGGGCUAUGUAAUAUCGCAAGGUAGAACAUAGCCUAGCGGCGAACGGGUGAGUAACACGUGGGUAACCUGCCUGGAAGACAGGGAUAACGAUUCGAAAGGGUCGCUAAUACCUGAUAAUAUCCUUUCAUCGCAUGGUGAUAGGAAGAAAGGGGAAACCCGCUUUCAGAUGGGCCCGCGUCCCAUCAGCUAGUUGGUAAGGUAAAGGCUUACCAAGGCGACGACGGGUAGCCGGUCUGAGAGGAUGUACGGCCACACUGGGACUGAGAUACGGCCCAGACUCCUACGGGAGGCAGCAGUUGGGAAUCUUAGGCAAUGGACGAAAGUCUGACCUAGCGACGCCGCGUGGAGGAAGAAGUCCUUCGGGAUGUAAACUUCUGAACUAGCCGAAUAAAAGGCCUGUGGACACACAGGAGAAGAAAGUAGGCUAGGAAAAGUCCCGGCUAACUACGUG
rnacentral:rRNA from 1 species